rnacentral:rRNA from 1 species
AGUGAACGCUGGCGGUAGGCCUAACACAUGCAAGUCGAACGGCAGCACAGUAAGAGCUUGCUCUUACGGGUGUCGAGUGGCGGACGGGUGAGGAAUACAUCGGAAUCUACUUUUUCGUGGGGGAUAACGUAGGGAAACUUACGCUAAUACCGCAUACGACCUACGGGUGAAAGCAGGGGAUCUUCGGGCCUUGCGCGAUUGAAUGAGCCGAUGUCGGAUUAGCUAGUUGGCGGGGUAAAGGCCCACCAAGGCGGCGAUCCGUAGCUGGUCUGAGAGGAUGAUCAGCCACACUGGAACUGAGACACGGUCCAGACUCCUACGGGAGGCAGCAGUGGGGAAUAUUGGACAAAGGGCGCAAGCCUGAUCCAGCCAUACCGCGUGGGUGAAGAAGGCCUUCGGGUUGUAAAGCCCUUUUGUUGGGAAAGAAAAGCAGCAGGUUAAUACCCCGCUGUUCUGACGGUACCCAAAGAAUAAGCACCGGCUAACUUCGUG